GUUUCCUUAGGGAAUGAUGUUCUCCCUUGGGAUUCCAAAACCGCUUGAGUGCUGAUGACGUCUGCUUUUUA
rnacentral:ncRNA from 2 species